GAUGAACGCUGGCGGCGUGCCUAAUACAUGCAAGUCGAGCGAACAGAUAAGGAGCUUGCUCCUUUGACGUUAGCGGCGGACGGGUGAGUAACACGUGGGUAACCUACCUAUAAGACUGGAAUAACUCCGGGAAACCGGGGCUAAUGCCGGAUAACAUUUAGAACCGCAUGGUUCUAAAGUGAAAGAUGGUUUUGCUAUCACUUAUAGAUGGACCCGCGCCGUAUUAGCUAGUUGGUAAGGUAACGGCUUACCAAGGCAACGAUACGUAGCCGACCUGAGAGAGUGAUCGGCCACACUGGAACUGAGACACGGUCCAGACUCCUACGGGAGGCAGCAGUAGGGAAUCUUCCGCAAUGGGCGAAAGCCUGACGGAGCAACGCCGCGUGAGUGAUGAAGGUCUUCGGAUCGUAAAACUCUGUUAUUAGUGAAGAACAAAUGUGUAAGUAACUGUGCACGUCUUGACGGUACCUAAUCAGAAAGCCACGGCUAACUACGUG
rnacentral:rRNA from 1 species